GAUGAACGCUGGCGGCGUGCCUAAUACAUGCAAGUCGAGCGAACGGACGAGAAGCUUGCUUUUCUGAUGUUAGCGGCGGACGGGUGAGUAACACGUGGAUAACCUACCUAUAAGACUGGGAUAACUUCGGGAAACCGGAGCUAAUACCGGAUAAUAUUUUGAACCGCAUGGUUCAAAAGUGAAAGACGGUCUUGCUGUCACUUAUAGAUGGAUCCGCGCUGCAUUAGCUAGUUGGUAAGGUAACGGCUUACCAAGGCAACGAUGCAUAGCCGACCUGAGAGGGUGAUCGGCCACACUGGAACUGAGACACGGUCCAGACUCCUACGGGAGGCGGCAGUAGGGAAUCUUCCGCAAUGGGCGAAAGCCUGACGGAGCAACGCCGCGUGAGUGAUGAAGGUCUUCGGAUCGUAAAACUCUGUUAUUGGGGAAGAACAUAUGUGUAAGUAACUGUGCACAUCUUGACGGUACCUAAUCAGAAAGCCACGGCUAACUACGUG
rnacentral:rRNA from 1 species